AGGUCAGCCCUGGAUCUCAGGGCCUCAAAGCCACCCAGGAGUGCUCCAUCACACAGGCUGCUCUGCCGAUGAAGAUCUUUGGUUCCACCUCUUCUGGCUCCGCCAACCCCUCCACCACCUCCCCCCACCAAGGGAAACCACACACUUCAAGAGAAAACCAGCCGUGCCCAGCUCCUACAGGAGGUGUAACUGUCCCUUAGCAUGCAAGGGAGAGGGCAGUGAAGGAAGUGUAAACAGUUGCAAGUCCCACACCAAGAGGGUGGCAGGUCCGUCUUCAUCAGAGCUGCUGCAGUGCUGUUUCUCCCACCUUCGGGGACCCAACGCCACUCGGCUCUCAGGGACAAGAGGUCGCCACCAAGCCCACAGGAUCAGAAG